UGAGAGGAUUUAUGCAAUUAUGCUAUGCAUGUAAAUAAAAAAUGGAAAUUUUCAAAACAAAGGAGAGGUCAUUCUAAUUUUAUUGAAACUUGGUCUUUACAAUUUACUCAAAAAGAAUGACUGAAAUUUUACAAUUGGAAAAAAUCAAAUGCGGAUGCAAUUAUACUUCUCUGAUAGCUUUGUAUGGCUUUCCAUUAGAUAUGCCAGCAACAAAUAAC
rnacentral:lncRNA from 1 species